rnacentral:lncRNA from 1 species
CGCGGGCGGAGGCUUCCGGGGCUGGGGGCGGUGCCACGUGCAGUGCCGGCGGCGCACGGCAGAGGGCGUAGAGGAGCUACCGCCGCCCUCCCGGAUCCCACGGCGCGGUCCGCGACGCCCGCCCUGCCGCCGCCUGGCCGAAGCCUCUCCAAGGCCAAGGCCACCCUCGGCCCCGCCCCGCCGCAACCGCCGCCCCGGAGUGUCGGUCGAAGAUCACCCUAGGCCCACGCCCUCUGCCCGCCCCGGACGCGCCACCCCUUCCUGGGCCUCCCUCCCUCCUUCCGCUCCAGAAAGCAAAACAUCGGUGUUCAUCCCCAGGAUGAAGCAGGCUGCCUUGUCUGAGCCUGGGGUCUUCGCCAGAGGUGCACCUCAUCAAAGCCCCUGAGAUGCCCCUCCAGGGCCUGGUCCCUGCAGGAGAAACCAAGCUCUAAGGCAGAGGCAAAGGAGCCACACAGCUGCACCCUGCAAGCCUUCUGGAGUCCUUGUCAGCUGUGUCCCUCAUAAGUCAUUCAAGGAGACCUUGUGGGUUCCAAGCUUGGGUCAUUUAAGUGGUUGUUGUCGCAUAAACAUGGCUUUCCAAGGACA